CGUUGACUAUCUUGGAGUUAAAUUCCAAGGAUGUAAAACGUGUAUAUAAAUAUUUACCGAGAAAUAAUUUAACUUUAUUUACCGAUUAACGCUCGAAUUGUUCGAAAGAGACCAAAGUUGUUGUUCUUGAGUAGAUUUCUUUCGAGGAUGCAGUUCCGUUUCAUUGUCCUACUUUCUUGGUGCUGUUUGUGCUUUAUUUAUUUUAAUAAUUUGGAGGCUGCCCCAUCUGAUUUAAUGUCCAUUAAUUAUAAAUACAAGUAUUAUACAAUAAUGCCACCGGAAAAAAUUUGGUGGAAAAGAGGAACUCAGAAGAAAAGUUUUGUUGAACUCGGAGUUGUUGAACCAUAAUUUAUUUUCUCAAAUUUGUACAUAAUAAUGUUAUCGACUUUUACAUUUUUUUGAUAAGAAUAAAAAGUACACGUCAUUUUAUUCGUUA